CAAUAGCGUAUAUUAAAGUUGUUGCAGUUAAAAAGCUCGUAGUUGGAUUUCUGGGUCAAGCUCCUGGCCCGCCGCUAUGCGGUGCCGACUGUGUGUAGCGUUGAUUCAUCCUUGUGGGAAUUCCAGUUUGGGCUUCGUUGUCCGGCUGGCGGAACCGCAUCUUUUACUGUGAAAAAAUUAGAGUGUUCAAAGCAGGCUUACGCUGUGAAUACAUUAGCAUGGAAUAAUACGAUAGGACUUUGGUUCUAUUUUGUUGGUUGGAGACCAAGGUAAUGAUUAAUAGGGAUAGUUGGGGGUAUUCAUAUUUAAUUGUCAGAGGUGAAAUUCUUGGAUUUAUGAAAGAUGAACUUAUGCGAAAGCAUUUACCAAGGAUGUUUUCAUUAA
rnacentral:rRNA from 1 species